rnacentral:rRNA from 1 species
ACACAUGCAAGUCGAGGGGAAACGACAUCGAAAGCUUGCUUUUGAUGGGCGUCGACCGGCGCACGGGUGAGUAACGCGUAUCCAACCUGCCCACCACUUGGGGAUAACCUUGCGAAAGUAAGACUAAUACCCAAUGAUAUCUCUAGAAGACAUCUGAAAGAGAUUAAAGAUUUAUCGGUGAUGGAUGGGGAUGCGUCUGAUUAGCUUGUUGGCGGGGUAACGGCCCACCAAGGCUACGAUCAGUAGGGGUUCUGAGAGGAAGGUCCCCCACAUUGGAACUGAGACACGGUCCAAACUCCUACGGGAGGCAGCAGUGAGGAAUAUUGGUCAAUGGACGAGAGUCUGAACCAGCCAAGUAGCGUGCAGGAUGACGGCCCUAUGGGUUGUAAACUGCUUUUAUAAGGGAAUAAAGUGAGUCUCGUGAGACUUUUUGCAUGUACCUUAUGAAUAAGGACCGGCUAAUUCCGUGCCAGCAGCCGCGGUAAUACGGAAGGUCCGGGCGUUAUCCGGAUUUAUUGGGUUUAAAGGGAGCGUAGGCCGGAGAUUAAGCGUGUUGUGAAAUGUAGACGCUCAACGUCUGCACUGCAGCGCGAACUGGUUUCCUUGAGUACGCACAACGUGGGCGGAAUUCGUGGUGUAGCGGUGAAAUGCUUAGAUAUCACGAAGAACUCCGAUUGCGAAGGCAGCUCACGGGAGCGCAACUGACGCUGAAGCUCGAAAGUGCGGGUAUCGAACAGGAUUAGAUACCCUGGUAGUCCGCACGGUAAACGAUGGAUGCCCGCUGUUGGCCUGAAUAGGUCAGCGGCCAAGCGAAAGCAUUAAGCAUCCCACCUGGGGAGUACGCCGGCAACGGUG